GGGGAUGUAGCUCAGUGGUAGAGCUCAUGCUUAGCAUGCAUGAGGACCUAGGUUCAAUCCCCAGUAUCUCCA